GAAGGAUAUGUCACAUAUUUCUGAAGGAAGGAUUGACAGCACGAGUCACUCAGGAGACAAAUGGUGGCUCUCUAAAUCUAAAUGUGUUGGAUGGCACACAAUUUUUCUUAAAAGAGUCUAAACAUAUUUUAAAGCAAUAGACAAGGUGAUGUGCUUGGUGAACAUGGAGCCUAAUCAAGAACAGAAGACUAAAUAUACUGAAAGUGGCCACUGAUGUGGCACGCAUGUAGAAGGGAAAAGGAGUCUGGAGUAAAUGCAUGAGGAGUGAACAAGAAAUGACUCACUGUCUGCACACAUGGGAUACAGGAGGCAGCACUUCUGGACAGAUGUAGCAUUGCCCACAAGUCAGAUGAUGGCCUGUCAUCAUUCUGGUUGCACGUUUUUUCUGCACCUGUUCCAGUGCUACAGCAUCCUUGAAUCUUUGAAGUCUUGAAUCUCCUAUGACUCAGGAACUUGGUGAAGAACAUAUUUGAAAAUGAAGACCGUUAUUUUGAAUAAACCAGGAUCUGUUGCUCGAUGAAGGCACAUCACACUGCCUCAUGGGAGGAGGGCUCGGUUCCACUUUCCUUUCAGAAGACUCUUACAGCACUUCUGCUCCCACCUUUUAGAUGAAGGCCAGAAAAACUGCAUGAAAGCAUCAGUCUUUAUUCAAGCUGUCUUCACCGUAGAAGUGACUACAUAUUGGGUCUGGUAACUGCAACUUUAAUAAGUACUUGUGAGUUGUGUGUAGGGUUGUGUGCCAAGUGCCUACAUAAUCCAAGAAGUAGUUUCAAUGAAACUUUAAACUUAAUGGGUAAUGCAGCCAUUAGGCAUGUAUAUAAUACAAACCAUUUGGGUGAGUUACAGCCUGUCACAGCAUUCAGUGAUGCUCCAGAUGUGACACAUUUUGUAAUCAAAUGAUAAAUCAGCAUAUUUCUCUUCACAGGUAGCAUAGCUUCCUUCACCCCCAGCCAGGAUAUAGAGUGCCUUAAGAAUGAUAGCAGAUAUGCCAUUAUUUGUUUGGGGAUUUUAAAAUUGUAAAUGCUUCAUCUGACUAGUUUCUAUGGGACUAGCACACAUGGUAAGGAAGCCAAUUAACGUUUAUAAAAUUUGGAUGGAAACGGAACAUAGGUUUUCUUUCCAAGAAAUCAAAUACUUCUGGGUAACUAAGUAUGUAGCAUAUUUUCUGUGGGGACAAACCAAGCAUUUUGCUGGAGCAAUAGAUACAACUUUUAAAACACAUUUUUGUUGUUAUUCCGUCUGCUUUUCAUUAUUAUUCUCUUUAAUUUUGCAAUAGGCAGAGAAACUGCCACCUAUAUCAGUCUCCUGUAGAUUGUUGAUCAGUGAGUGUUUCAAUGUUUGCUUUUGACUUUCUUUGCAAACUCGACGUAAUAUCAAAGCAGUUGUUUUCUCAUGAGUCAGCAUCCAAACUGUCUCUUGACAGUUUUGUUUACACAGUAUUGUAACUGCCUUUCCUAGUUAUGUCAUCCACAUUGAGAUCCACCAUCCACACUUUCCUCAGUCCUCAGGAUUUGGGAAAUUAAUUCUGCUACAAGUUCUGAUUUAUUUACCAUAAUACAAUAAGUGUGUGUGUGCGUGUUUAAAAAUCUAAUUUUAUAUCCCAGGUAUGACUUCAAAUAUAACCUUUUUAUGUGGAAAAGUAACUAUUUUGCUUAUAAUGUUGCUUACCACCUGGCUGUUACCUAAAGACUACAUCAAUGCUGGACAACCUCCACUGGUAGUGGUGGACUGUAUUGCUCCCAAACCCACCAGGGGCUGAACCCAAUCCUGCUAGCAUUGCACCCUGAAAUCUAGGGGGUACAGCUGCAGCAAUCUUAAUUCCCAUUGUACUGAAUAUUUAAAACAAGUCACAUGGGCAGCCUGCCUUGCAUUGUGCAUCCCCCAUGGUGUCCCAGGUGAUAUAUCAUACCGGAGAACUAUGGAAACAAAAUGGCAGCCACAAUAUAUGCAACGAUGGAAGAAAGUUCUGCAAACUGGUCAUUCCUUGGGGGAGAAAAGGUUGAGGGUGAAUCCACAAAUAUUUAUGAAAAAAUAUAUCUGCAGAAAAAUGCAACUCAGCAUUACCAUACCAUUUAUGAACAAUACCGUAUGUUUGUGUGUGAAAGAGAGAGAGAGGGAGAGAGAGAAAGAGAGAGAGACUGGUAGCAGCAGUUGUAACAGGAAUACCCCAUGAAGCAGGGAACAUCUGCACCCCAGAUCUCCACAUAAAACACACACUGCUGUUUUCAGGGAAACUCAGCCAGGAGCCAAGCAAUUAGACAUCAGCCUUAGUGAAAAAUCACAUCCACACAUAGACUGAGAAUAUCUGACUGUUAAACAUAAGUUUGGCAGCCUAUUUUGGCUAGUUCCCUGUAGCCACUGCUUUGGACUGAGGAAAGCAGCAUGGAAGAUGUUGCAUAUCAACACUCCCCCCCCCCCAGUGCAUCCAACAGCUGUUCCCGCAGAGAAAUUGAAGAGCUGAGUGCCACUGGUGCCAUCUGCUAAGAGCAACAACAGCAGACAUGUCAGCAGCAGGAACACCUGAUGAACUGGGGAGAAAGAUAAAAAUAAUAUGAUGGCUUUCACAUCAGUGUGGAGGUGAAUCUGUUCUGAAUUGUAAAGGAGCUAUCCAAAUGCUGAGCACACCUGCCUAUCUAUCUGUCUGUCUAUCCAUCCAUCCAUAUAUCUAAUCUAUCACUU